rnacentral:SRP_RNA from 1 species
CCGGAAGCUAGCAGACCCCAGCGCGAGCAGGCUGUGUGGCGCUGGG